CGCUAUAUCACAAGAUAUUUUAAAUUAUUGGAUCAUCAACACGAUCGCUGAUCGUUGUAUGAGCUGAGGAGUCUGUCUCCAUGUUGAGCUGAAGCAUCCACGAGAUCUAACCUCUAUAUGAGCUGCCCAUGUCACCUCAGCUGACUUAUCUCUUCAACGUGCAUAACAGUUGUCCAUCUCGAAUAGAUAAGAUCUAGCGUAACCAUCUCUCAUG
rnacentral:lncRNA from 1 species